rnacentral:rRNA from 1 species
AGAGUUUGAUCAUGGCUCAGGACGAACGCUGGCGGCGUGCUUAACACAUGCAAGUCGAACGGAAAGGCCCGCUUGCGGGUACUCGAGUGGCGAACGGGUGAGUAACACGUGGGCAACCUGCCCUCAGCUCUGGGAUAACUCCGGGAAACCGGUGCUAAUACUGGAUAUCAACUUCUGCUCGCAUGGGUGGUUGUUGAAAGUUUUUCGGCUGGGGAUGGGCCCGCGGCCUAUCAGCUUGUUGGUGGGGUAAUGGCCUACCAAGGCGACGACGGGUAGCCGGCCUGAGAGGGCGACCGGCCACACUGGGACUGAGACACGGCCCAGACUCCUACGGGAGGCAGCAGUGGGGAAUAUUGCGCAAUGGGCGGAAGCCUGACGCAGCGACGCCGCGUGAGGGAUGACGGCCUUCGGGUUGUAAACCUCUUUCAGCUCUGACGAAGCGAGAGUGACGGUAGGAGCAGAAGAAGCACCGGCCAACUACGUGCCAGCAGCCGCGGUAAUACGUAGGGUGCAAGCGUUGUCCGGAAUUAUUGGGCGUAAAGAGCUCGUAGGCGGUCUGUCGCGUCGAAUGUGAAAACCCGGGGCUCAACCCCGGGCCUGCAUUCGAUACGGGCAGACUAGAGUUCGGUAGGGGAGUCUGGAAUUCCUGGUGUAGCGGUGAAAUGCGUAGAUAUCUGAAGGAACAUCAGUGGCGAAAGCGACUUCCUGGACCAAUACUGACGCUCAUGUGCGAAAGCGUGGGGAGCAAACAGGAUUAGAUACCCUAGUAGUCC